rnacentral:rRNA from 1 species
AAAUGGGAUAUCUUUAGUAAUUGCGAAUGAACAAGGAUAUGCUUAGCUUGACAAAUGGAGCUAUUGGCUUUGAAUUGUAUUUGUGGAAUGUAUUACCAACAGAGGUGCAGGUGCCAGCCUAUUAAAUAAAGCGUCAAUGAGGGUGAGAAUCCUGUUUGUCAUGUGCAGCCCUUUGUGCACGGUGUAUAUUUGCUGAGUCACACUCCUUGGCAUUGGAAUGCAAAGUGGGUGGUAAGUUUCAUGUACAGGUAAACAUGCAAUUGAGACUGAUAGCACACAAGUACCAUGAGGGAAAUAUGAAAAGGACUUUGAAAAGAGAAUUAAAUGAGUUUGUAUUUGCUGAACACAAAGUAAACAGACUUGAUUUGCUUGGUGGGAGUGUUGCACUUGCUUGACAAGAGCUUUGGGCUGUGGGUGUAAUGAUUCUUUCUUUGCAUGCCAGUUUCUAUGUGUACAUCUGAUUACCUUUGCACAUGAAUGAUAAGUCUCCUGUGGGGGGUGGAUUGCAUGUGCAUGUAAUGAUUUGUGUUUUGAAAAAUGUGUCUGGUGUAUGUGUGUGUGUUCCUGUGCUUGGGGAUGCUUCCUUCCUUGGACUUACAAGCCCUGACACACACAUGCUG